UAUCAAAUAAAUAAUUCAAGUGUAAGAAAAAAAUUGGGUUCAACCAUGUGCUAGCAAGGUUACUUUGAAUCCAUUAGGAUUUUUCUAAAUCCAAUUGAGACUUCAUAAGUCUAAUUACUUAUUUUAGAUCUAAUCUUUUUGUUGUGUGACCUCAUCGGUAGUGAGAUAUACCAUGAUCUCUAUCAUAAUGUCAUUAAAAUUUUUUUCAAUGGAUCGAAAUGGUUCCACUCUAACUCAUCAAGAAUUAUCGAUCUCAGCAACCCU
rnacentral:lncRNA from 1 species